UACAGAGGGGGCAAGCGUUGUUCGGAAUUACUGGGCGUAAAGGGCGCGUAGGCGGCCUUCUAAGUCGAACGUGAAAUCCCCGGGCUCAACCCGGGAACUGCGUCCGAUACUGGAAGGCUUGAAUCCGGGAGAGGGAUGUGGAAUUCCAGGUGUAGCGGUGAAAUGCGUAGAUAUCAGGAGGAACACCGAUGGCGAAGGCAGCUCGCUGGGACGGUACUGACGCUGAGGCGCGAAAGCGUGGGGAGCGAACAGG
rnacentral:rRNA from 1 species